GUUCAGGGACAACCCUGUGAUCAUGGUUUUGGUCACAUAGCUUCCAAGUGAGUGUUGUGCAAACAUUUGCUAGGAUCUCUCGGGGAGCCUGUUAGAAAAGAAACUCCUGAGCCUGCUCCAGAGCUUCUGUUCAGCAGGCCUGAGGUGGGACCAUACACCUGUCUUUUCAGCAAGCCCCCCCCCACCUCUGAGGAUGCACCCCAAAGCUAGAGAAUUCCUGCUCUGAGCCAUCUCUGAAAGCACCAAGAGCCAGCUCACGGAGGAGAUGCCAGCUCACGGAGGAAAAUCUGGAAGGUGUUGAAGCAUAGACGCUGGAACAUAAAAUGACUCAUGAUCUCACUGGGAGAAGGGCUGGGAACAUCGUGGGCUCUCUUCUCCCCGCGCUCCUCUCUCCGGGUCUCUGUUUCCCUCAUUCCACGAUGUUUAGAACCAUCGGCGCACUACAUCAGACUAGAGGUCUGGGGUCACCCGACCAUCCCGCCACAAGCCCCUCCGAGGCAUCACUGUGUCCAGAUUUUGCAAACUGCACCUCCUGAAGGGGCUGGGGUCUGUCCACUUCGCCCCAUCUGCCGUGGCAGCACUUCCUCCGUGGUUCGCACCCCCACAGCAGCCUCCUGGGAAGGCACCUCCCUGGGGCCCCUCUCAGUCCACGGUGUGGAUAUGGUGAGUUCUUAAACCAUGAACUUCUGAUUUCACAGCUCUGCUUGAAGCCUUCAAUGUCAGGCUUCCUGUUGCUCUUAAGAUAAUGAUCAAAACUCUCAACAAAGUUCCCCUGAUAAAUGCUCUCAACGUGCCCCCCACCACAGCAUCCCUAACUGUAAUGAAUACAUCAUUGGUCCUCACGGCAGCGGAUUAAUCGUCUGUGAGUGUUGGUUUAAUCUUUCUCUUCUGGAGUUUAGCUGUCACUGCCAUAUCCCCAGCACGGAGCACAAUGACAUGUUUAUAUGUAGAAAAUUGAGCGAAAAAUAAAAACAGCUAACAUUUGGGUACUUAUUAUCUUCCAGGCAGCAAGCUAUGCAUUUUGCAUAUAUUAGCAAAUCCAUGAGGCAGGUGCUGUCUUCAUUGUACAGGUGAGGAGCCUGAAGCUCAGAGAGGUGAAGGAACAUCCUCAAGGCCACGCUCUGAAAUCAACAAAAGAUACAUCAGUUUAUUGUGGGAAACAUCAGAACAUGCAGAGAUAUUAACAAAGAGAAGUCACUCAGAGAUGACUGUCAUUAACAUUUUGGUGUAUUUCUUCGUAGACAUUUUCCUAUGUCUCUGCAUAGUAACAUACUGUCCAGAGUGCUUGUAAUCUGCUAGACGGUUUGAUGAGACCAAGUUUUCAUGGUAUUAGCCACGGCAAUAUUUGUAUUCAUAUUUUAGGGUAUGGCUGAACUGAAAUUUGCUUUUGCUCAACUCAGCCCCUCUUGUGAACAUUAGGCACUUUGCACUUCACCUGCUGAAAACGUGGUAGUCAUAAACACGCUGGUAGCUCAAUCGUCCCACCUAUCUUUACUAUGUUAUUCAUUCCUAGCAGUGGGGCCUGGGUCAAAAGUUCUGCAGGGUUUUAAGGCUUUGGAUCAGUGGUUCGGGAUUGUCCUCUGGGACGGGCUGAGAAGCACACAUGCCUGCCGGUGGUGACAAGCAUUCCUUCCUAGUGCAGAGUCAGGUCUGCACCUGGCACCCCCUACCCAUCCAGGUUGGGUCCCUGGCAUUCAGUUAUGUGGAACAGACCAGAAAAAUUAAAAAAGAACCCCCUCCCGCAUCUUCCCCGAAGGACCACUGGCCUGCUGUCUCUCCCCGCACUCCCCCACUGGAGUUCAUACCCACUGAAUCACGACCCCCUUGUGGCUAAGCCCUGGUGCGCCACCCUGCAAAAUCAAAGGUGGUGUCUAGGCACAGAAAUGGCUCCGUGACCUAUGUCCCCUUUGUUCUAAUCUAGAAUCCAGCCAGGAGUAUGCGUGUCAGAAGCCAGGGGUGAUUGUGUUUUUUCUCCUUCCUCUUUCUUUAGGUCAGGAAGAUUCCUGCAGCUGCUGAGUUAGUACUUUUAAGAAAGUACUGGAUUCCCUCUCACAAUGGGACUUUGAUUUUUUUAAGAAAAAGGUUUCAUAAGUUUUCAAAUAACCUGGAGCAGUUGAGCAAACUUAAUGUGCAGCGUGGUCCCUGCUGGCUGGGUUUGAGGGGCUGGGUCUCUCUGAGUGGAUGCUGGUGAGGUGCAGAGGAAGAAGAAAAGGUGCCUGAGGGCCUGUGUGGAAGGCCUGUCACACAGCACAUCCUGGGAAAUCUGUCCAGGAAGCAGCCAGGCGGGCAUCAGCCAGGCGGGCAUCAGCAUCUUCACUGUGCAGAUGAGAAACUGAGGCCGCAGAGGUGAAGGGACAUGCCCAGGAUCACUAAGCGUUUCAGCAUCUCUAUAAAACCCUCACAGGUAUGUGAACCAUAGAUCAUUUGAAUCGUCUAUUGUGCUUUUAGGCUGUUUUCAAUUUUUCUUUUUAUAAAUGAUGCAGCAGAGUAUCUUUAUGCAGAGACCGUUUCCAUACUUCCCCCUGUGCAGAAGGAAAAGUAGGCAGAAGAAAGAUUAACUUGGUCAAAGCUUUUAAAAUCUGAUUUAAUACUUCUUAAGAAUGAUGCACCUUAUGAAACAACUUUAUAUCUGUUGAAAAACCUAGUUCUUUUUUUAAUAUUGUUUUAAAAAAUGACUUGUUCUGAACAAUAUCCUGUGCCUUUCAGAAGACAGCGACGGAUAUGAAAGGAGAUUUGUUCUCUCCAAGCUCUUAGGAGGCGAUCUGGCUCAGGAAACAGACACAUCAGAUCCGAGCAUGUAUCUGAUGGUUGCUAUGGGAACAAGUCAUUUAACAGCCACUCAGCUAAAGCAUUGAUCAAUAAGGAAGGGGGCAGGAGGGAAAUAAAUUAGUUGGUGUCUGAAUAGCCCUGAGAGAGAGCAAUAAUGCGUCCCCUUCCCAUGGCAGGGGCCCGGGCAGGAGGCAGGGGCGAAGUCUCGUCCAUCCACGCUGGGAUGUGUGGGGUAGGAGGGCAGAGGGGGCAGAGAACAGAAUCAUAUUGGGGUGAGAAACCUGCUCCCCAAACCAGAUAUGGGGCAAGUGAGGCCUUAGACAAGGCUGGGGGCAGGGCUCCCAGGGAUGGGGGCACGGCUGGUCCCGCUUCUCCACGCUCCUGUGAUGUGCUUGCCGGGCCUGCUGGGAUACCCUGUGGCACCCCAUCGCUCUAGUGGGGAGUUCCGGUCUAGAGAGGAGCCGUGACUCCUUCCAGGCACAUGGUCAACCCCACUUGUCUUCUGGGGGCUCCCAGCCUGGCAGGGGAGAAAGGCAAAGGCCCUCACGGGGUCGUUCAUUGAUUCAUCCACAAAUACUUCCUGAGCCUGUCUGAGGGACCAUGCUCAGGCCUGGGCAGACAGCAGAGACCCAAGGAAAGAACAGAACUUGGGCUCUGGGGCCAAAUCGUGGCUCGGCCACUUGGCAGGCUCUUCACCUGUAACGUGUUGAGAAAGUGACGUAAAGUCAGAGCCAGGAGUGGGCAUCCUGAGUGCUCAGCUGCCAUUGCUGGGACUCAUAAUCGCAAGGGAAGGCAGAGACAGAAGUGAGGGUUCCUAAGUGGAAGGUACUCAUAAAGCCUUGGCUGAAUACGUAUGGCUGACACAGGGGUGUCUGUGUUUGCCACCAAAGGGUGGCCCUGGGCUGGGAUUACACACGGAGAGAAGGCGGGAGGAAAGUCAGGGAGCCUCAGACCAUUGGAGGCUGCAUCUAUUGACCUCUGAUCCCCACAGGCAUGGGUGUGGGUGUGGGUGUGGGUGUGGCUGGCUCAAGGGUCAGUGCCCACCAGAGAACUGGACCAUAGAUGAGCUGGACUUUUCCAACCCUGCCAGCCUGGGCCAUCUCAAGGGUGCUAUUGGUUGUGAGGGGAGGAGGCCCUCUUUUCUGAGUCCCUCCCCAGAUGAGUGCAAGCUGGGACACAUAUACGAGAAGGAUCCUAAUAACAUGCAUGCCAAAAUCCUGCUGUCCCAGCCUUUGGUUCCAGCAGUUUGACUUCUGGAAGUCUUUCCCAAGGAAAUAACCUUGAACCCACGGUGUCUGCUGUAGCAUUCUUCAUAAGAGUGACUGCAAACAACCUCUAAGCCCCAAAUCAUGUAUUGGUUAAAAAAAUAAUGAUUCCUUUUCUUGCUUUAACUCAGGUGAUCCCUAGAAACACAGCCAGUGGCCCGGAAGCUGCACUGUUUUGUGCACCGCAGGGAUGGGCACAGAUGGGGCUGCCUGCCCUCCUCCUGGAAGGAGGGAGAACCCAGUCUGGCCUGGAGUGGUCAAGAGCUAACUCUAGACUCAGCAAGACCUACUUCUCUCUCCUGCCCCUACUUCCUUGCUGCUGACCUGGGCAAGUCGCUGAAGCCUCUCCGUGCCUCAGUCUGCUCGUGCGUAAGAUGGGCACAGGGCACACUGCCUACUUGAUUGGGCUCAACCACGUGCAGUAAGUAGCUGGUGUCUGGCAAGAGCCCUCAGGAAACAGUAACCCCAUUAAUUCAAAUGCACGUGCCUGGAACAGGCUCUGGGGGGCCAGCCCGGGAGUCCCACUCCAUGAUGGCCACCCUGGGGCCUGGCAGGCUGGGCUGGCAUCCCAGGCCCACCGGAUACUGGCUGUGCACCCCGGCCAGGCCACACAUCUCUGAGCCUCACUUUCCCGUGUGUGAGAUGAGGCUAGAAGCUGCUUUCUCUUGCGUGUGUGGGGAUUGGCGGUGACAACACGGCCAGGAGCCCAGGCCCAGCCUACGCGAGCAGCCUCGCUCCAGGCCACACGCCCCACUCCUGACAGCUCUGUGCAGCGAGUUCGUGCGCGAGCGGGUGGCUGUCUGCCAGGCGAGGGGCGCGGGUGCCCAAGAGGGCUUCACUGCUUCUGGAAAGAUCACAAGGAAAAACCACCUCCGCGGCGGGACGCUACCCGCGGGCCGCUGCGGUCCCGCUCGCGGCCGGCAGGGGGCAGGAUGUCCCCGCGAGUCGCCCGUGUCUUCGGGUGUCCUCAGGUCACCCCGCACCGCUCGCAGCCUCCGCGCCUAGUUAAAGGGCGACGCACUCAUUUCUGCAAAGAAGGAGCCCAGCGGCCCCUCCCCGGGGAACUCUUUCCAUCAACUCGGGGCCUAAUAAUUUACAUUUAAUUUGUUAGCGGUUUAAUGUUUAAUUUUAAAAGCGAGAUGAUUCAUUACCAUAUUAAUAAAUAAUAACAUUUAUUAUUCUCCUAA
rnacentral:lncRNA from 1 species